GUCAGCAGAUACGAGGCACUAUCAUUGGCACCAACUAUGAUGAACCUCAGUAUGUUGCUUUCAAUCCAGAUGACAAUCUAGUAGCCCUCUGUGUGGAGAAUGAAGUUCUAAUCCUUGAUGCUCAGAAAGAGAGACUGACCUGAGGUUAGAAGGUCACACAGCUCCUGUGACCUGUGAGAGUUUUGCCCGCAUUCACGGACACCGUGGUAUCAGCUUCUGAAGAUAGGACAUUCAAAGUUUGGGAUAUUGCGACACAGUGUCUCAUAUACCAGUCAAGCAUUAUAUCAGCUUCUCCAUUCCUCUGUCUUGCCAUUGAUCCAUAUUCUCAAUGUGUAGCCCUGGGUACAACAGACGGACAGGUAAGGAUGUAUGACCUAUCGGAAGGAAAGGGUUUCAGAUGUCUACACCACAUUGACAUAGCCAAGCAUCUUAGGACAACAGAACAGACUCAAGGCGGAACAAAAGGUUUCAAGUACAUC